rnacentral:piRNA from 1 species
UAGUUAAUGGUUUAUAUAUGUGUUGGCAAC